rnacentral:rRNA from 1 species
UUAAGUUAUUAAGGGCGCACGGUGGAUGCCUUGGCACUAGAAGCCGAUGAAGGACGUUACUAACGACGAUAUGCUUUGGGGAGCUGUAAGUAAGCUUUGAUCCAGAGAUUUCCGAAUGGGGAAACCCAGCAUGAGUUAUGUCAUGUUAUCGAUAUGUGAAUACAUAGCAUAUCAGAAGGCACACCCGGAGAACUGAAACAUCUUAGUACCCGGAGGAAGAGAAAGAAAAUUCGAUUCCCUUAGUAGCGGCGAGCGAAACGGGAAGAGCCCAAACCAACAAGCUUGCUUGUUGGGGUUGUAGGACACUCUAUACGGAGUUACAAAGGACGACAUUAGACGAAUCAUCUGGAAAGAUGAAUCAAAGAAGGUAAUAAUCCUGUAGUCGAAAAUGUUGUCUCUCUUGAGUGGAUCCUGAGUACGACGGAGCACGUGAAAUUCCGUCGGAAUCUGGGAGGACCAUCUCCUAAGGCUAAAUACUCUCUAGUGACCGAUAGUGAACCAGUACCGUGAGGGAAAGGUGAAAAGCACCCCGGAAGGGGAGUGAAAUAGAACCUGAAACCGUGUGCUUACAAGUAGUCAGAGCCCGUUAAUGGGUGAUGGCGUGCCUUUUGUAGAAUGAACCGGCGAGUUACGAUUUGAUGCAAGGUUAAGCAGUAAAUGUGGAGCCGUAGCGAAAGCGAGUCUGAAUAGGGCGUUUAGUAUUUGGUCGUAGACCCGAAACCAGGUGAUCUACCCUUGGUCAGGUUGAAGUUCAGGUAACACUGAAUGGAGGACCGAACCGACUUACGUUGAAAAGUGAGCGGAUGAACUGAGGGUAGCGGAGAAAUUCCAAUCGAACCUGGAGAUAGCUGGUUCUCUCCGAAAUAGCUUUAGGGCUAGCCUCAAGUGAUGAUUAUUGGAGGUAGAGCACUGUUUGGACGAGGGGCCCCUCUCGGGUUACCGAAUUCAGACAAACUCCGAAUGCCAAUUAAUUUAACUUGGGAGUCAGAACAUGGGUGAUAAGGUCCGUGUUCGAAAGGGAAACAGCCCAGACCACCAGCUAAGGUCCCAAAAUAUAUGUUAAGUGGAAAAGGAUGUGGCGUUGCCCAGACAACUAGGAUGUUGGCUUAGAAGCAGCCAUCAUUUAAAGAGUGCGUAAUAGCUCACUAGUCGAGUGACACUGCGCCGAAAAUGUACCGGGGCUAAACAUAUUACCGAAGCUGUGGAUUGUCCUUUGGACAAUGGUAGGAGAGCGUUCUAAGGGCGUUGAAGCAUGAUCGUAAGGACAUGUGGAGCGCUUAGAAGUGAGAAUGCCGGUGUGAGUAGCGAAAGACGGGUGAGAAUCCCGUCCACCGAUUGACUAAGGUUUCCAGAGGAAGGCUCGUCCGCUCUGGGUUAGUCGGGUCCUAAGCUGAGGCCGACAGGCGUAGGCGAUGGAUAACAGGUUGAUAUUCCUGUACCACCUAUAAUCGUUUUAAUCGAUGGGGGGACGCAGUAGGAUAGGCGAAGCGUGCGAUUGGAUUGCACGUCUAAGCAGUAAGGCUGAGUAUUAGGCAAAUCCGGUACUCGUUAAGGCUGAGCUGUGAUGGGGAGAAGACAUUGAGUCUUCGAGUCGUUGAUUUCACACUGCCGAGAAAAGCCUCUAGAUAGAAAAUAGGUGCCCGUACCGCAAACCGACACAGGUAGUCAAGAUGAGAAUUCUAAGGUGAGCGAGCGAACUCUCGUUAAGGAACUCGGCAAAAUGACCCCGUAACUUCGGGAGAAGGGGUGCUCUUUAGGGUUAACGCCCAGAAGAGCCGCAGUGAAUAGGCCCAAGCGACUGUUUAUCAAAAACACAGGUCUCUGCUAAACCGUAAGGUGAUGUAUAGGGGCUGACGCCUGCCCGGUGCUGGAAGGUUAAGAGGAGUGGUUAGCUUCUGCGAAGCUACGAAUCGAAGCCCCAGUAAACGGCGGCCGUAACUAUAACGGUCCUAAGGUAGCGAAAUUCCUUGUCGGGUAAGUUCCGACCCGCACGAAAGGCGUAACGAUUUGGGCACUGUCUCAACGAGAGACUCGGUGAAAUCAUAGUACCUGUGAAGAUGCAGGUUACCCGCGACAGGACGGAAAGACCCCGUGGAGCUUUACUGUAGCCUGAUAUUGAAAUUCGGCACAGCUUGUACAGGAUAGGUAGGAGCCUUUGAAACGUGAGCGCUAGCUUACGUGGAGGCGCUGGUGGGAUACUACCCUAGCUGUGUUGGCUUUCUAACCCGCACCACUUAUCGUGGUGGGAGACAGUGUCAAGCGGGCAGUUUGACUGGGGCGGUCGCCUCCUAAAAGGUAACGGAGGCGCUCAAAGGUUCCCUCAGAAUGGUUGGAAAUCAUUCAUAGAGUGUAAAGGCAUAAGGGAGCUUGACUGCGAGACCUACAAGUCGAGCAGGGUCGAAAGACGGACUUAGUGAUCCGGUGGUUCCGCAUGGAAGGGCCAUCGCUCAACGGAUAAAAGCUACCCCGGGGAUAACAGGCUUAUCUCCCCCAAGAGUUCACAUCGACGGGGAGGUUUGGCACCUCGAUGUCGGCUCAUCGCAUCCUGGGGCUGUAGUCGGUCCCAAGGGUUGGGCUGUUCGCCCAUUAAAGCGGUACGCGAGCUGGGUUCAGAACGUCGUGAGACAGUUCGGUCCCUAUCCGUCGUGGGCGUAGGAAAUUUGAGAGGAGCUGUCCUUAGUACGAGAGGACCGGGAUGGACAUACCUCUGGUGUACCAGUUGUCGUGCCAACGGCAUAGCUGGGUAGCUAUGUGUGGACGGGAUAAGUGCUGAAAGCAUCUAAGCAUGAAGC